GUGCUUGCUUUGGUAGUACAUAUACUAAAAUUGGAACAAUACAGAGAUUAGCGUGGUCGCUGCACAAGGAUGUCAUGCAAAUUCAUGAAGCAUUCCAUGUUUUU
ensembl:snRNA U6 U6 spliceosomal RNA